GUGCUUGCUUCGGCAAGCGCGUACGCUAAAUUGGAUACGAUACAGAGAAGAUUAGCAUGGCCCCUGCGCAAGGAUGAAACAUAAGGUCCAGGAGCCAGAAUUUG
ensembl:snRNA U6 U6 spliceosomal RNA